rnacentral:rRNA from 1 species
UACGUAGGGACCAAGCGUUGUUCGGAUUUACUGGGCGUAAAGGGCGCGUAGGCGGCAAUUCAAGUCAUCUGUGAAAUCUCCGGGCUUAACUCGGAACGGUCAGAUGAUACUGCUUUGCUAGAGUGCGGAAGGGGCAAUCGGAAUUCCGGGUGUAGCGGUGAAAUGCGUAGAUAUCCGGAGGAACACCGGUGGCGAAGGCGGCUUCCUGGACCGACACUGACGCUGAGGCGCGAAAGCUAGGGGAGCAAACGGG